rnacentral:rRNA from 1 species
UGAGGAACAUGACCUUCGGCGGGGGAGUAGCCGGCCCAACGGCCGGGUAAUACCGCGUACGACCACAUGUGGACAUCCCUGAGUGGUGAAAGCAGCAAUGCACCGAAAGAGUGCCUCGCGGCCUAUCAGCUAGUUGGUGGGGUAACGGCUCACCAAGGCGACGACGGGUAGCUGGU